rnacentral:rRNA from 1 species
GUCUACGACCAUCUAUUUCACGAUUGAAAACACCGGUUCUUCGUCGAUCACCGAAGUUAAGCAACGUCGAGCCCGGCCAGUACUUUGGUCAUGGCCGUGACCGCCUGGAAUACCGGGUUGUUGUAGACU